rnacentral:rRNA from 1 species
CUGUAAGACUGGGAUAACUCCGGGAAACCGGGGCUAAUACCGGAUGCUUGAUUGAACCGCAUGGUUCAAUUAUAAAAGGUGGCUUUUAGCUACCACUUACAGAUGGACCCGCGGCGCAUUAGCUAGUUGGUGAGGUAACGGCUCACCAAGGCAACGAUGCGUAGCCGACCUGAGAGGGUGAUCGGCCACACUGGGACUGAGACACGGCCCAGACUCCUACGGGAGGCAGCAGUAGGGAAUCUUCCGCAAUGGACGAAAGUCUGACGGAGCAACGCCGCGUGAGUGAUGAAGGUUUUCGGAUCGUAAAACUCUGUUGUUAGGGAAGAACAAGUACCGUUCGAAUAGGGCGGUACCUUGACGGUACCUAACCAGAAAGCCACGGCUAACUACGUGCCAGCAGCCGCGGUAAUACGUAGGUGGCAAGCGUUGUCCGGAAUUAUUGGGCGUAAAGCGCGCGCAGGCGGUUUCUUAAGUCUGAUGUGAAAGCCCCCGGCUCAACCGGGGAGGGUCAUUGGAAACUGGGGAACUUGAGUGCAGAAGAGGAGAGUGGAAUUCCACGUGUAGCGGUGAAAUGCGUAGAGAUGUGGAGGAACACCAGUGGCGAAGGCGACUCUCUGGUCUGUAACUGACGCUGAGGCGCGAAAGCGUGGGGAGCGAACAGGAUUAGAUACCCUGGUAGUCCACGCCGUAAACGAUGAGUGCUAAGUGUUAGAGGGUUUCCGCCCUUUAGUGCUGCAGCAAACGCAUUAAGCACUCCGCCUGGGGAGUACGGUCGCAAGACUGAAACUCAAAGGAAUUGACGGGGGCCCGCACAAGCGG